CAGGGAGGAUGUGCCCCUCGCCCUCCUACCUGCAAGACACCCAUUGGCUCUAGUCUCCACUUACCCCUUAAGAGCACUGUGACUUAGAGCCUUUGCUGGGUGCCUUUAUGAGGGGAGGCACAAGCUGACCCUUAGCGGGGCUGCAAGCCCCCCGACAACCUCAGCCAGGUGACCCACAGCCGACAUCUGCCCAUCCUGGCUCCUGAGGUGGGCGCAGCCCCUGGUCAGAGUUUUUCUUGUGGACCCUACCUAUGUCCUCUUUCCCGUGGCACUGCUGUGGCCAGAGCUGCUGAGCCCCAGAUGCCCGUGUCCACACGGAGCUCAGUGUCUCCCAGCUCCGGGAGGCUCCCUGAGCUUGGCUGCUGCUUCCCAUCUUCCCUGUUACUGUUUCCCGCCUUCUCUUCUGGUACAACAGCAAACCCGGGAGGCACCACAGAGCCUUAUCUAAGCUGUUCUGGGCCCAGAGCAUCGUGGGAGGAGGCCGCAGAGGUGCGCUGAGCCAACCUUGGGCCUGCACUGCCUGGGCCUCCCGGGACCGGUAUUGGCAACAGCACCACGAAUUCUGCCAAGGAGCUCUGAAGAGGUCACGGCAACGAAACGCAGCCUCUAAUCCAGGGUUACUACAAUUCUGAGAAUCUGGUUUCUCCCGUGAAUCCAAUUGAAAAACAUGAAAAUGCAUUUCCCACUGGAUAUCUUGUCAGCCUGAAUUUUCCCCAGCCCCUCAAGGACCCAGAAUUGGGCUUGUGGCACCCCUGAAGCCUUGUGGGCUCCUGGGCCGUCUCUCCUGACAGAACACUGCACUCCCCCCGGACUCUCAGCCCUGCCCCCGGAGACCAGGCUGCAACCUUUCGCCGGGCCUCUCCGACCGCACCCAGGGGGGGACCAGGUCCCGAGGCUCACCAGAGUCCACGUGCGGAGGCUCACACACCCGGAGCUGGUGCGGGCUGGACGCCGUCAGAUGCCACCCUGGGGAAGCUGGGACACGUGGGUGCGGUCACCGCUUGGGCCCGGCCCGCAGACCCCACACUACAGACAAAACAAGAAUCUUGAAAUGAGAUCAUCCGGCAUUAUCCAGGCCGUACAUCCAAGACGAGCGUCUUCGUAACAGAGGCAGAGGGAGGCUCGACACAGCAGAGGGGAGGCCGCAUGGAGACGGGGCGGGAACGGGACCACACGGCCACAAGCCAGGACCGCCCGGAGCCGCUGCUGGAUGAGGCAGGAAGGGACCCCCCACCCCCACCCAAGAGCCUCUGGAGGGAACCUGGCCAUGUGACACCCGGAUUUCAGAAUUCCGGCCUCCAGACAGAGAGAGAGCACAUCCCUAUUGUUUUCAGCUCCCAGGCCUGAGGCCCCAGGAAACAAAUCUCUUCACCAGUCCUGGGUACUAUGAAGCAAACACAUUUUUGUCUGUGUGGGAGGUAAACAUGGGUUCUUUCCACAACAUCGAGGCCCCUGGAAAUCAGGCAGCCCCCAAGACCAGAGGCAGGCAGGUCCCUAAACCACUCACAUCCCCAGUCAAAAAAGGGGAGGCUGGUGGUUGGACGGGACUCCUUCAGGGCUGUCCAGGAGCGGGGUACACAGCAGCCUUCCCACUGGAGUGGGCCCCUUGUCUCUAGCCUGCCCUCCCUGCGGCUGCUAGCCAAGCCUCCAUAAUCACACCAGCCAAGUCCUUAAAAUACGUCUCUCUCUCUCUCAACGCGCCCUGUUGGUUCUGUUUCUCUGGAGACCCUUGAUUAACAGAUUGUGUCGCAGGCCUGAGAGCAGUGGGGUGGGGGAUGGGGGCACGGAGCCAGGUUCCCACAGCGAGACAGCGGCAGGAGCUCAGGUUCCCUGCAGGAAGAGAAUGUGCAGGGGCUGAGUCUGGCAGCCCCGUUCUGGGUGAAGACCCUUGAGGAGACCCACGUGGGGCCGGGCCUGGCCAGCUCACGUGUCCCCGGAAAGCUUCCCACUGAGCAAAACCAGCCUGUGAAGGCUGGAUGAGAGGAAGGUCCGGACAGGGACAGACACAGUGUAACUGCCUCAGGGUAAGGGGCACACGUUGGUGUCAUGGGGAAACACAGUCUUCAGGACAUGGCACCCAGCCACUCUGAUAUCUGUGGCAAAGAUACCACCAGUCCCUAACUCAGAGCUCAUAAAAUCUAUUCCAGGUGGUUCAUAAACCUCAAUGGGAAAAGUAAACCAACUGUAGAAUGUCUUCAUGACCUUGAGUGGGUAACGGCUUCUUACACAGUACAGCAAAGACCCCAACCCCACAAAGAAAAAGCCUGAAGAACUGAACCUUAUUAAAAAUUAAGAACUUGUGUUCAUCCAGAGACACCACAAAGAAAGCGAUUGGCAGUCCGCGUAUCAAAAAGGACCCAUCCAUCGUCCUGGGAUCGAGCCCCACAUGGGGCUCUCUGCUCAGUGGGAAGCCUGCUUCCCUCUCUCUCUCUCUGCAUGCUUGUGGUCUCUCUCUCUGUGUCAAAUAAAUAAAUAAAAUCUUUAAAAAAAACCACUGUGACUGGAGAGCAUGGUCAGCUGAACAAUGGCCCCUGGCGUGUACAUACCCUCAUACCUGGAACCUGUGACCUGAGUUUCUUUACGUGGUGACAGUGAUGUUGCUGAUGUGAUUAGGAAUCUUGGAUUGGGGCGCCUGGGGGCUCAGUCAGUGAAGCAUCUGUCUUCAGCUCAGGUCAUGAUCU